ensembl:misc_RNA
UUAACAGCCUUGGACACUGAAGCCCUCUAUUUAUCUACAGAACAGGUACAGCCGGGGCAGCAGCAGUGCUAGCUUCCACUACAGUUCCCCCACCAACGUGCCUCAACCCUGACCUGGAGGAACCACCUCUAGAGGUGAGAGGGGAAUUGAGUCUCCAUGUCCAUUCAAUCCUUGGCCUCU